rnacentral:rRNA from 1 species
ACGCUCGACACCUACGAGAGGCAGCAGUGGGGAAUAUUGGGCAAUGGGCGCAAGCCUGACCCAGCAACGCCGCGUGAAGGAAGAAGGCUCUCGGGUUGUAAACUUCUUUUGUCAGGGACGAAGCAAGUGACGGUACCUGACGAAUAAGCCACGGCUAACUACGUGCAGCAGCCGCGGUAAUCUGAGCGGGCUGGCAAGGC